rnacentral:tRNA from 2 species
CAAUUAGCUCAGUCGGUAGAGCACUCGGCUGUUAACCGAUAGGUCGUAGGUUCGAGCCCUACAUUGGC